rnacentral:rRNA from 1 species
UACGAAGGGGGCUAGCGUUGUUCGGAAUCACUGGGCGUAAAGGGCGCGUAGGCGGCCGAUCAAGUCGGGGGUGAAAGCCUGUGGCUCAACCACAGAAUUGCCUUCGAUACUGUUUGGCUUGAGACCGGAAGAGGUUAGUGGAACUCCGAGUGUAGAGGUGAAAUUCGUAGAUAUUGGGAAGAACACCGGUGGCGAAGGCGGCGACCUGGUCCGAUACUGACGCUGAGGCGCGAAAGCGUGGGGAGCAAACAGG